UGGGUCGGCAAGACGGUCGCGUCAGUCCAGGCUCUUCGGAGCCGGGGCUGCCGAGGAACGUCCGGGCUCCACAGAGCAGGGCGGUGGGUAACACCCACCCGGGGUAACCCGCGAGACAGUGCCACAGAAAGUAGACCGCCGCAGGCCCCAGGCCUGCGGUAAGGGUGAAACGGUGGUGUAAGAGACCACCAGCGGCCAGGGUGACCUGGCUGGCUCGGUAAACCUCGCCCGGAGCAAGGUCGAACAGGAAACGCCAAGGCGGCUCGCCGAGUUUCCGGGUAGACCGCUAGAGGGCUGCGGCAACGUAGUCCCAAGAUAGAUGGCCGUCCAGGGCGCAAGCCUGGACAGAACCCGGCGUACCAGCCGGCCCAUUCC
rnacentral:RNase_P_RNA from 1 species